UUUCAUUAUUUAAGUUUGCAAGAAAAUCACACAAACUGACCAAUUCUUGCUGUCACAACACCAGGGCUAAAGUUUCACCAACAAAGAAGAUUAGGAAGCUAGAGGUACAAAACUAUCAAACAAAGACAUGCUUUGUUUACCCAUGUUGCGGGACAUCAUCCACUAUAGGAUUGCAGAAGACCUAAAUAAAGCAAAAUAAAACAUUUAGAAAACCAAUAAAAAGAAUUAUUCAUUCCCAAUAUAUAUAAAACCCAAAGAAACCUCUUUUGCACAAUCUCUAGAAUCAAGAAGAAAUCCAAUAUGCCUAAGUAAUGUACAAUAUGUUUGCCAACAGUAAACUGAAACUAAACUGAAUAGUAGAUGCACAAAUACCCUUGAAAAAGGGCCUCUUUCGACCACUUCAUCUGACACGAACACUGUAGACCACAAACCCUAUAAACAAUUUCUAGCACUGUGAAAGCAAUACACCAGCAGAAACGCAGUGGUGGAUUUAACCAACCUUUACUGGCACUAUGAAAGCAAUACGCUUGUUAUUAAAACUCAUAUAUUGUACUAAAUGGAAAAGGUCUAUUUUCUAAAUUAUACAAUACAUUAGCAGAGAGAAAAUAAUAAACUGAAACCUUUAUCUAUAAAUAAAUGCAGUAUAUAUAAAAGAAAUAUGAUAACAUAAAAAAUAUCCUAAAGUAACAAUGACAAAAACACUAACCAUGCCGAAUGUGAAUUCUCUACAAACUACAAGUCUUUUCUAUUAGCGAUAUGUUUUUGAAAAAUAGAUUCCUAUACAACUCCUGUCCUCUACAAUCCAAAAGGAUUCCCAUGAAAAAAAAAAUCUAGUGGAAAUGAUGGAUUGAAAUUAAGUUUUAUAUAUCUAGGCCUUAUUUAUCUCAGUCUAAUUCAAAUAAGGAGAUUGUGGUCAUAUAUUAAUAGGAUUCUAUACAUCUUUAAUUAUAUAGAGAAAAAGAGUGAUACUUACAUUUUCGAUCAUUUGAUCAAAAACAGGCAGAGCAGGGACCAACGACGGGGAGAUAUUUUUGAAAAGAUUCUAUUUAAGCAUCCUAUUAUAUAUAGUUUUGUCAGUAUUGAGCCUUGUGUGAGCCUAUUACGUAUAGUUUUGUCACUCCAAUUCUUCUUACUAUUCAAGUAUAUAAAGAUUGAUUAUAUUUAAAAUCUAUUUAUUUUAGUCAAUUACUUGAUUCAAACUCAUUAGAACAACAAAAUCAGCCAAUGUUUGCUGCGAAGUCAAAUACCUCAAGGUUUUAGCUGAUUUGUAGGAGUCUUUACCGAAUGAUUGAUUUCCCAUAAAACAUGUUCUGCAAAUUCAUAUACAAACAGAACCCAUAUGAUUAAGUAAAACAGAAUUGCUACCUCAAUCAAGUAAAACUUUGAGAUUCUGUUUUUCAGAAAAUUAAAAAACAAAUGUAAAUUUUUAGUUAGUUUUCCUAUCAUCCUUCUGAACUCUAGCAACUUUUCUCAAUUACUUAAAAAUAAAUCAAAUCUAUCUACUUCACCAUUCAAAAUUCAACUGCACUUUAGAUCUUACAAUCCAAAAACGACAUUGAGCAUAAAUACAAUACACAUCUAUAAAUAUAAAACCAAAAAAUCAAUAUAACAGUAAUAAGCAUUAAAUAAAUGAAUAAUUAACAAAAUUCCAAAAAAUUGUAGUUCAUAUUACCUUAAUAAUGAGUUAUAUCAUUCAACAAUCGAAGAUCUAUACUUUAGAAAAAGUAAAUAACUCGAUCAGAAACACCGACUCCAAAUACAUAAAAUGAAACUUAAGCGAAAUUUGCAAGUUAUACUACUUACGGAAGGGUGGUGGGCAGCCGCUAAAAUGCGUCGGGUGGUAGGGACUUCACUUUUGGCGUAGAAAGGAGGGAGAUGUGUCUUUCUUUCUGUAUGUAGAAAUAAAGAGAACAACCAAAUUAUUGAAUUUCUAUAUAAACGGAAAAAGGGGGAAAAAAAGUGUUCAGAAAAUUAAAUAAUUAAAUGUAACUGAUUAUUUUACUGGUUCUGUUAAAUUAAUUAAUCAUUUUAAUAUUCUGCAAAAUCUUUUUGUAGGUUCAGAUGAUUUUAAUAUUGUGCCAGGUGUGGUGCUAAUUGUCUGCCAUACUUAAAUUGCAAGAACUGAAUCUAGUUAUGAAUAAUCUAACAUAAAAACCUAAUAAUUUGCGGGAUAGAUUACACAAUUUAGAUACACUAUAGCAGUAAAAAUUUGAUAAAUUAGCUAAAUAAUGAAUAAAGAGUUUAUAUAUAUAUAUAUAUAUAUAUAUAUAUAUGAGAUGAGUGAGAUUUGGGUACCGUUUGGGAAUCGAAUAAGGACACUCCUCAAAUCUCUAACCUCCAUUUCUUUUACAGCCGAUAGCAGCACCAUUGUUCUUUCUUUGAUUCACAUCCCUCAAAUCCCUAACCUCCAUUUCAGGUCAGCAGAUCGAGGACACACAGGCGAACGCCUCCGCCGAGACAUCCCGUUCAUGUAGCAAACGAUCACGGCUAUCGAGAAAUGCAGGAAAUCAGUUAUCGCCACUAUCCACGGGGCUUGUGUUGGCGGUGGAAUUGGUAUUAACCCAAAUAUGUGAUGGAUAGAAAGAGAGGAACAAAGCGGAAGAGGAGUGGGAAGGGUUUGUAAACGGCUAAAAAGAUAAAGCGAUGAAGAGACCGAAUUAAAUUGAGAAGGGGAGCGGAAGAGAUCAGACGAUAACCGGUUUAUCGAGAAGAUAAAGCGAUGAAGGGGACCAAAUACAAUUUAAUCGAGAGAGAGGAGAAAUCAACUGAGUCAAUUUUUAAUUAAGUAAGGGUUGACUCAGUGAGUUUUCUAAUUUAAAGGAUUAAAUUAAUUUUAAAUUGAUUGAAUUGGAGGAUAGCUGUGAUAAGUUAUCUUUUAUAAACAAUAAAAUAAAAUACAAAUCCAACAGAAAUCAUCAAAUCAUAAACUAGAUUAAUCACCUAGUUAUAGCCCCCAUUGACUCGAAAUGUUUAGAAAAUCAUAUAAUAUUAUAACAUAAAUUAUCAUAUAUUAAUAACACAGACCUU
rnacentral:lncRNA from 1 species